GUGUUAGACGUGUCAGAAAAUAUUUUAUAUGAAAAAAAUAGAAAUAUUCGAAGAUUUAAUUGAAUAAUUUUUAAGGAGAUAAAAGGAUCACGAGCAUACCACAUCAAUUUAUUUUUAAAUUUCGGACGACGAAAUUAAUUUUUGAACUAAUUUUUAUUUUCCUGUUGUUUGGAUCGCCGAUUCCUCUGUGAAUCGGCGCUGUCCACGAACAAAAGAAGUGGAAAACUCCAAUCUCAAAUUAUCUUUAUUGGUCCCAAAUUUCCUUAGACAUCAAUCCCCUAAUUAUUAUAUAAUCGGUCCCAAAGACCAAUUGAUGCUUUUUAAAGGCGGAUAUUGAGAUUUUUGAUUCUACUAAUAUCAAGACCGGAGUCUUCUAAUCGAUGGUUUGAUUAGAGCUCAAUGAACCCAAAAUUGACCUAAAAUCCUGAAUUGUCAAAUCAAUACAACAAAUGCCAGAAUCUUCCCGUCCAUAGUUUUAUUGGAGCCCAAUGGACACAGCAUUUCCCUAUUACCGAAUUGUGUCAAUUAAAGAAUUCUGGGGAUUCUCAUUCUUUUUCAAUUGCAAAUAAAACAAGAAUUAUUUAUAGUAUAUACAUUUAGCUUAUUUUCCCCAUUAUUACAUACAAGACAAUUAUUAAAUUUAUAUGUUACUUUGGUGCGCGAGCUAAGCAAAUUUGAAGCCUUAACUUUUAUAACCACCCAGAACUAUAGCAAUUUCAAAUCCCACGUCUGAAGGCCUAAGGACAUCAUGGCUAUUAGCUGGUCGUGACAAAAUACAAUUUCAAUAUGCUUCAUAAUUUUCAUAGUCUUUGGAAGCCCAUGUGUCUGGCAGUUGCCUUCUCCCCCUUUCAUUUGUAUUUAACCGGAAAUGCAUCUACACAUUUCAUAAUUCCAAAUUAUGAUCUCAUAAAUAAAAUUAAACUGAGACCAGAAAACAAAAGGAAAAAACAUUAAA
rnacentral:sRNA from 14 species